GAGCGUGUGGAGGACCGAACCCACCUAGGUUGAAAACUGGGGGGAUGAGCUGUGGAUAGGGGUGAAAGGCCAAUCAAACUCUGUGAUAGCUGGUUCUCCCCGAAAUGCAUUUAGGUGCAGCGUUACGUGUUUCUUGCCGGAGGUAGAGCUACUGGAUGGCCGAUGGGCCUUCACGGGUUACUGACGUCAGCUAAACUCCGAAUGCCGGUAAGUGAGAGCGUAGCAGUGAGACAGUGGGGGAUAAGCUUCAUUGUCGAGAGGGAAACAGCCCAGACCACCAACUAAGGCCCCUAAGCGUGUGCUAAGUGGGAAAGGAUGUGGAGUUGCUUAGACAACCAGGAGGUUGGCUUAGAAGCAGCCAUCCUUGAAAGAGUGCGUAAUAGCUCACUGGUCAAGUGAUUCUGCGCCGAUAAUGUAGCGGGGCUCAAGUACACCGCCGAAGUUGUGGCAAUGACCCUUUGGGGUUGUUGGGUAGGGGAGCGUCGUGUGGCCGGUGAAGCUGCGGUGUAAACCAGUGGUGGAGGCUAUGCGAGUGAGAAUGCAGGCAUGAGUAGCGAAAGAUGAGUGAGAAACUCAUCCGCCGGAUGAUCAAGGGUUCCAGGGUCAAGUUAAUCUGCCCUGGGUUAGUCGGGGCCUAAGGCGAGGCCGACAGGCGUAGUCGAUGGAGAACGGGUUGAUAUUCCCGUACCGGUGAAAAACCGCCCAUACUGAUAUUGUGAUGCUAACCAUGCGAAGCAUGAUGUGCAGGCUUUUGUUUGUGUGUUGUGUGGGUUGUGGGACCCGAUCUUUGGAGGUAAACGUGUUAACAGGUGUGACGCAGGAAGGUAGCCAAGCCACGCGAUGGUUGUCGUGGUCUAAGCGUGUAGGGUUGUCGGUUGUUAAAUGCGCCGGCUGUGUGCCUGAGACGUGAUGGGACCCCGUUUUUGGGGGAUUUGGUGAUCCUAUGCUGCCGAGAAAAGCAUCGGCGUGAGGUUUUAGCCGCCCGUACCCUAAACCGACACAGGUGAUCAGGUAGAGAAUACUAAGGCGAUCGAGAGAAUCAUGGUUAAGGAACUCGGCAAAAUGCCCCCGUAACUUCGGGAGAAGGGGGACCUUGAGCGUGAUGGGCACUUGCUGCCUGGAGCGUGUAUGGGUCGCAGAGACCAGGGGGAAGCGACUGUUUAUCAAAAACACAGGUCCGUGCGAAGUCGUAAGACGAUGUAUACGGACUGACUCCUGCCCGGUGCUGGAAGGUUAAGAGGAUUGGUUAGCCUUUUUUGGGCGAAGCUGAGAAUUUAAGCCCCAGUAAACGGCGGUGGUAACUAUAACCAUCCUAAGGUAGCGAAAUUCCUUGUCGGGUAAGUUCCGACCUGCACGAAUGGAGUAACGACUUCCCUACUGUCUCAACCAUGAACUCGGCGAAAUUGCAGUACGAGUAAAGAUGCUCGUUUCGCGCAGCAGGACGGAAAGACCCCGUGACCUUUACUAUAGUUUGGUAUUGGUGUUUGGUUUGGCUUGUGUAGGAUAGGUGGGAGACUGUGAAGCAUGGACGCUAGUUUGUGUGGAGUCGUUGUUGAAAUACCACUCUGGUCAAUCUGGAUGUCUAACUUCGGGCCAUGAUCUGGUUCAGGGACAGUGCCUGAUGGGUAGUUUAACUGGGGCGGUUGCCUCCUAAAGUGUAACGGAGGCGCCCAAAGGUUCCCUCAGCCUGGUUGGCAAUCAGGUGUUGAGUGUAAGUGCACAAGGGAGCUUGACUGUGAGACUGGCAGGUCGAGCAGGGACGAAAGUCGGGACUAGUGAUCCGGCGGUACGUUGUGGAACGGCCGUCGCUCAACGGAUAAAAGGUACCUCGGGGAUAACAGGCUGAUCUUGCCCAAGAGUCCAUAUCGACGGCAUGGUUUGGCA
rnacentral:rRNA from 1 species